UACGGAGGGUGCGAGCGUUGUCCGGAAUCAUUGGGCGUAAAGGGCGCGUAGGUGGCCCGGUCAGUUCGUGGUGAAAGCGCGGGGCUCAACCCUGCGUCGGCCAUGAAUACUGCCGCGGCUGGAGCACUGUAGAGGCAGGCGGAAUUCCGGGGUGUAGCGGUGGAAUGCGUAGAGAUCCGGAAGAACACCGGUGGCGAAGGCGGCCUGCUG
rnacentral:rRNA from 1 species